rnacentral:lncRNA from 1 species
AAGUAAAACCUUGACUACAGAAGGAGAAAGUACACUGUGAACCUUACUGCUGUCUUUCCUGUAACUAAAAUACUCCUUUUGUUUUGUCCUCUUUCAGGUGCAUGCUGUAAUUGCCAGAGGAGCGGUGGGAGCUCUCACAGGUAGAUGAAGCAAACGCCGAGGUGCUGCAGCUGUGAGCAGGAGGAAAAUUAAGCUGUGAACUGGAAUUCCAUCAGGCUGUCUACUGUGAAGCCCUGUGGCUUUAGCAAAGGGGCAGCAGUGGUCAGAAAUGACACUCAAAAGAAAAUGACAUGGAAUUCACAGUGGACUUCCUACUCUGUGAAAGAAAGGGAGAAGAUGCUUUUGCUUCAUGCAAUCUUCGCUUCUAAGGAGGUUGCUGCUGUUAAGCACUUCUGCAACUUAGACACACAAAGAAAUGGGAACCCUUUGCAGCCUGUAGUGGAACAUGAGCAUGGACCCUUCAGGCUUUGUCUGAUUUCUUCCUGUUUCUCCGACGUGUUGCUAAAUCAUGGCAAUGGAAGAGCUCAUCUCCAGGAUGCCAAAUCCGUGCUGCCUUCCAGGGACAAUCCCAGCAGCUCAUGUUCUGAAAAAGGAGGAAACCAGGGCCUGGGAAAGCAGUUGUGCCUGCUGGGAACGGAGUCUGCCUCACGCCAGUGCCACCACUCCUAA